GGGUGUUCUAAAGACCUGCUCUCUAGGCUACGCGCGGAGAACGCUUGUUUCUCUUGGGCCCCUGAGCCCGCCUAGGGGAAAGUCCCCGGACCCUGGGCAGAGAGUGCCGCGUGCUUUGCAGCGCGCAACAACCCGUCUCGCGAGCCCACGCUUACUCCGCCAAGAAGCCCUCAGGGCCGAGCGGGUGGGCGCGGGAGGGGCCUCUCGUCACCUCCAUAGUCACGCAGGUAGUGCGCAUGUGCAUCUUUCACAGAGAUCGCCGCACCAACAGAACGGGGCUCAUUCUCAGAACGCC
ensembl:ribozyme RNase_MRP RNase MRP